rnacentral:tRNA from 1 species
GCCGGGAUGGCGAAACUGGCAAACGCGCGAGACUUAAAAUCUCGUGUCCGUAAGGACUUCCGGGUUCGAUCCCCGGUCCCGGCA